rnacentral:rRNA from 1 species
AUCGAACGCUGGCGGCAGGCCUAACACAUGCAAGUCGAGCGAGCGGCGGACGGGUGAGUAAUGUAUGGGGACUGCCCGAUAGAGGGGGAUAACUACUGGAAACGGUAGCUAAUACCGCAUACGAUCGGAUAACCCAUAUGGGAUUGGUUAGUAGGUGGGGUGAUGGAUUACCUAGGCGACGAUCCCUAGCUGGUCUGAGAGGAUGAUCAGCCACACUGGGACUGAGACACGGCCCAGAGUCCUACGGAGGCAGCAGUGGGGAAUAGUGCACAAUGGGCGCAAGCCUGAUGCAGCCAUGCCGCGUGUAUGCAGAAGGCCCUAGGGUUGUAAAGUACUUUCAGUCGGGAGGCGUUACCGACAGAAGAAGCACCGGCUAACUCCGUGCCAGCAGCCGCGGUAAUAC